rnacentral:lncRNA from 1 species
GACAACACUUCCAAUCAGUUAAGAUCAGAAGCCAUGAGAGCUACUGCCUGGUACUGCAUCUAUCAUCAUCAUCAUCAUCAUCAUCAUCAUCAUCAUCAUCAUCAUCAUCAUCAUCAUUAUCAUCAUCAUUAUUAUCAUUAUUAUUAUUAUUAUUAUUAUUAUUAUUAUUAUUAUUAUUAUUAUUAUUAUUAUUAUUAUUAUUAUUAUUAUUAUUAUUAUUAUUGUUAUUGUUAUUGUUAUUCGUUUUGUCUUAGGUUUUCUUGGAGUCUUUGCAUGCGUAGCGAAUUUGCUGCCUGCAGCUUAUCGCACCAUAAUACCUAUUCUUUUCAACUAUCUACUACUGUCCUAAUUACUCUGGCAAAACUUUUGUAACAGUUCUACUGGGCACUCUACUCUAAUACCGGCCUUUCUUAAUAUCCACUGCACCGUGUAGACAGAAUCAUUACAGCGUCGAAAAAAAAUGCCUCUCCAAUUCUUUACUUUUAAAGCUCAAAUCACGUUGAAGUCAGUAAUGCCUCUCCUUCCUCCGGAGACAAUGAAAUAAAGUACCAGUCAAGCCUUAAAGUCGAGAUAAUUGACUAACUUCCUCUCCUCAAAAGUGAUGGUCAUGUGCUUAAAUUAGAAAUACGGGCAUGUGAUGGAACCGAAAUGCUUCGCUGUAUUCUUUCCUCUAGUGGUAGUGUAGCCAAUGGCGCUGAUGAUAACGAGGAUGAUGAAUAUGAUGAAUAAUUUGUUUGUAUUGUAGGUCAAAAACCAGAGAAAUUCUUUCGUUUAAGCUAUUACCAAAGGCAUUAGCAGCGUGACAUUGGGAUACUAAAAACGAUGACGUUGAUGACAUAGCUGAGUCACGUAUUAUCUACGUUGUACAGGAUUCAUUAAAAAAUAAGAAAAAACAAUUCUUCAUGUUUAACUGAUGCAAGUAUAUAUUUGCUCAUAAGCAGUUAAUUAACUAUAUAAAUACGUCUACUGAUAGAUACAUACUCCUCUCUCUCUUUUCUAUCCCCCUCUCUCUAUCUAUCAAUCUAUCUAUCAAUUUAUCUAUACACAUAUAUGAAUGCAGCUAUAUAUACACACAAAUAUACAUGUGUGUAUGUACCUACAUAUAUAUAUAUAUAUAUAUAUAUAUAUAUAUAUAUAUAUAUAUAUAUAUAUAUACAUACAUUCAUAUAUAUAUAUACAUUCAUAUAUAUAUACAUCCAUACAUACAUACAUAUAUAUAUAUAUAUAAUAAACAUGAAUACAUAUAUAUCAAUAACAAUAAUAAUCAUAAGGAAGUAGCAUAGCAUUAUCUUUAAUUCUUUUAUAUAUACUGCUUUACAUAAACCUACGCACGCUUGAUAUCUACAUUAUAUAUAUAUAUAUAUAUAUAUAUAUAUAUAUAUAUAUAUAUAUAUAUAUAUAUAUAUAUAUAUAUAUAUAUAUAUAUAUAUAUAUAUAUAUAUAUAUAUAUAUAUACGGGGGCGCAAUGGCCCAGUGGUUAGGGCAGUGGACUUGCGGUUGUAGGAACGCGGUUUCGAUUCGUUGUGAGUGUUUAUUGAUCGAAAACACCUAAAGCUCCACGGGGCUCCGGCAGGGGGUGGUGGUGGUGGCGAUCCCCGCUGUACUCUUUCGUCACACCUUUCUCUCACUCUUUCUUCUGUUGGGCUGCUCGCUUAGCCAGAGAGGCGGCGUCAUUUGAAGGCUAAAACAAUGUGAAGCGCAUUGUGACCAGCGAUGUCUAGCAACAUCUGAUAGCCUGAUCGGUAACGGUGAUGUAUAUACACACACACACACACACACACACACACAUAUCAAAGUGAUACUAGGGUAGAAUAUACCAGGCCCAAUAUAUACAUCCUGACUACUCAUCCGAUAAGGGUACAUCAGGUACAUGCAUCACAACCAUAGUUCCAUAUUUGCGCGACAUGGUAAUCACAUAUCAUGAUACAUAGCGCAUAGAAUUUGCUUCAGGUUCAGUAGCCCAUCCCGCUCAAAAGAUCCCUGAGUAAGAGUUGUUUAAGGAUGGUGAACGAAAUACCCAUGUUGUCAGGUGUGAAAUAUUCAAACCCCAAAUAAUCCCUCUGAACACAUGACUAUGAUGCUCCCCUACUACUCCUGCUUCUAAUCAGAAGGGCAUAUAUUGUCUGCCAAUGAGGGAGCAUGGUCAACUGGUUAAGGCCAAGCAACUAACAAGCAAAUGUGUGAUAUUGAACAGAAUAUUUGCUGUGGUUCAUCUUUGCAACAAAAAUCUUAACAAAACCCUGAUAUAGGGACAAAACGUUACCCAGCAGUAUCAAAGAACCCUAGAGAUCCCGGGCUAACCUAUUCGUCGGAACUACUAUGACAAGUGUUUCUCUCCUUCGCAUUUUACAGCCUACAGGUACCAGCUUAGGGUAGACCAACUUACUCGGACCAUUCUCGCCAUAUUCUCACCUUUCAACAAAUUUACUGGGAAACAGUACAUCCUCUGAAGCCCCAUCUUUCAUGAAAGCGACGCAAAAAUCUGAUGACUGUAUUUAUUACCAAUAGCGUUUACUAACACACCAACCAAUAAUGACAUCUACCUCGCAGUCACGGCAAAAUGUUUUAUCUAUUUAUUUUCUUUUAUUCUUGUGUUCUUUUACUUGUUGGUAGUCAUUUAAGUGUGGCCAUUGUUAGGGCACCGCCUCGAAGAGUUUCAGUCGAAUAAAUCGUCUUCAGGAGUUAUCUUUUUUAAACCUGGGGUACUUAUUCUGUCGAUCUCUCUUUGCAGAAACUGCUAGGCUACGGGGACGUAAACACAUCAACACCGGUUGUCAAGCGGUGGUGGGGGGCAAAAACAGAUGUGAACACACACACACACACACACACGUAUAUAUAUAUAUAUAUAUAUAUAUAUAUAUAUAUAUAUAUAUAUAUAUAUAUAUCUACGCCAGGCUUUUUUUCGGUUUCCGUCUACCAAAUCCACUCACAUGGCUUUGGUCAGCCCGAGGCUAAAGUAUACGACAUUUGCCCAAGAUACCACGCAGUGGGACUGAACCUGGAAACAUGUCGUUGGGAAGCAAACUUUUUACCACACAGCCACGCCCGCACCACUAUUUAUGUAUUUAUUUAUAUAUUUGGUCAUGACUGUUUUCAUAGAAUCCAUCAUUGGUGUAUCCAUUGCAUAACUGAUUACAGAUUUUCUUAAAAGAAUUAUUGUUUGUCUUUAACUUUCUUCCCUCUCAGCUCCACAUGUUAACCUUACCCGCUUAUAAAUAAGUUCAAUAUUUGGUCUCAUCUAUCCUGUUGAGAUCACUCAAUUUCCGGCAAUGAACUCAAAGAGUGGAACCCUAGUUUCACAUUUCUCAAGUAAAACAUUUUGUUGACUGCGACGUAAGUUUUGUUGACUGAAACAUCCAGUGAUUGUAACAUCAAUUUUUAAUAGGUGAGGUUAACUGUUCAUUUAGGUUUUAAUUACGGAGUGGGUGCGCUAAGCAAUGAUGUGUAUAAAUGCAAUUUUAUCACCAGUUCAAAUAUGCUUGUGGCGCAGCGAGCCGUUAAGAGAGAUUGUCUCCCCUGUCUGCUUUCUGUGACUGAAGAGAAGAUGACAACUCUGAAACGCUUGCGUCUUACAGUUUGUAUAGGUGAUGCUGCGAGUUGAUUUAGGUGUAUUUACAUCAUUUGUGAACAGCGAGAAAUUUUCUCCAUGACAAAACACAGUGAAAAGUUUGCUUACGAGUUUGGACGUGCCACUAGUAUAUUUGAACUCGUAAUAACAUUGCAUUUAGGUUUUAAUUGUCCUAGGAUUUCCUUGUUGCUCCAUCCUUGUAAACUUCUUAAUCCCAUACUAGUGACGUUGUCUUCUUCAGAUUAACUAAACGCGGUAACAAUGCUCUCUCCUGGAACCUUUUUGAACCACCUUUAUCUACCCUGCUUCUUGUAAAGCAUAGAAUAAUUUUCUUGGGCUUAGUUUUUUUUGUUUUUGUUUUUCUUUAAACAGCAGUAAAUUUGAAAGCGUAAUGCCGUUUACACAAAACUAAGCGUAAGGUUAUGUUGAGGCAUGUGGCUUAGUGGUUAGGGUGUCAGCAUCAUGAUCAUAAGAUCGUGGUUUCGAUUCCUGGACCGGGCGACGCGUUGUGUUCUUGAGCAAAACACUUCAUUUCACGUUGCUCCAGUCCACUCAGCUGGCAAAAAUGAGUAACGCUGCAAUGGACUGGCGUCCCAUCCAGUUGGGGUACACAUAUGCCCCAGAAAUCGGGAAACCUGGCCCAUGAGCCUGGCUAGGCUUUAAAAGGGCGAAGAAGAAGAAGCGUAGGGUUAUAAAUACCGUGCUUGUUGUUUCACGAUAUUUUCAAGAGUUUUGUUUGAAGGCACACUUCAUGUGUAUGGCCUAUUAGCCUUUGUUCACUGUAUAUUUCCAUCCUAGCAUUUAUCACGUAUUUGUGAAACUCCGGGGUAUCUCGUAGAUAUUUUCCAAGCAUCUUUUGUGUCGCUUUUAUCUUUAAUCUUAUGCUUAAGUUAUAUAUCUUUAUGAAACAGUAGCACUAAGACGAAGAUCUAGCAAACUUAUCUUCAGAUAUAUUUCUCUUAACAGCCCAAUAAUCAUUGUCUCACACAUCACGUUUGCUGGGUCUAUGUACCCUAUACUUACUCGAUUGUAUAUCUAUAUUUUUAAGAUUUCCUUAGGUUAAGAGAAUUUUACGUUUGUAUGAUAAAGGUCAUAUUUUUGUCCCUCGAAUUUUCUUUCGUGUUUUCUCCAUUGAUGAAAAAUAUUUUCGUUUAGUGGUGGGCCAUACUCUUACACAGGUUGUCAUGAUGUUUCGCAUUAUCAGCACCUUAGAGACAGGCACUGUCGACCAACAGAAAAGUGAAAUUUUCUAGUCUGUAAGAAUUCUAAGAAAGGAUAUAGAGAAUUGAGAAGACAUGUUGGAUUCAAACCUCAGAAUGACAACACUGCUAAUUAAUUUAGCGCGAAACAUCAUUUAAGUAAUAAUGAUAAUAAUAACAAUAAAAAUGAUACUAGUGAUGAUGAUGAUGAUGAUAUCAUUUCUUUUAUAAAA